rnacentral:snRNA from 1 species
AUGCUUGCUUUGGCAGCACAAUGACUAAAAUUCUAAUGAUAGAGAUUAGCAUGGUCCAUGCAAAAGGAUGACACACAAAUUUGUCAAGUGUUCCAUAUUUUA